UUUAAUUUGUUCAUUUUAUCAUUAAUUUAUAUGUAAAUUUUUGUUAAUAGAUAUUUCUUAAGGAAAUAUUUUAUUGUUAUGCAGUAGACAAAUUUAUUUAUAUUAAGUUAUUUUAGAUUUAGUAAAUGUUGUGAGGAAUUGGUUAAAGUUGUGCCAGCAUCCGCGGUUAGACAGCAAAUUCAAGUGAACAUUAUUAGUUUUUAAAUAAUUAACAUUAAUUUAUUUAUAUUAAUUGGAUUAUUUUAGGGUGGAAUAUUUAUAAUAAUUUAGUUUAUAUAAUUUUAGUGUGAUUAUUAUGAAAUUGGAAUUAGAAACUAGGAUUAGAUACCCUAUUAUUUUCAUUGUAAAAUUUAUAAGCUUGAGUAUUAAUAGUUAUGAUCUUUAAACUUAAAGAAUUUGGCGGUAUUGUAGUCUAUUUAGAGGAAUCUGUUAUGUAAUCGAUGGUCCACGUUGAACCUUACUUAUAGAAUUUUUUGUAUACCGCUGUUUACGAGAAUAUUUUUAGAUUAUUUUCUAAAUAUAUAAUUAGUUAAUAUUUCAAGUCAAGGUGCAGACAAAUAUAUAAGUUGAAUAAUGGAUUACAAUAAAUUGUAUUUAUUAUGAAUUGUUAUUGUAAUAUAAUUUUGAAGGCGGAUUUAAUUGUAAUUUUAUAAAGAUUAUUAAAAUGAUUAUGGCUCUAUAAUAUGUACACAUCGCCCGUCACUCUCGUUAAUAAGAUGAGAUAAGUCGUAACAAAGUAGGUGUAUCGGAAGAUGUACCUAGAAUGUAUUAGUUUAUU
rnacentral:ncRNA from 1 species